UACGAAGGGGGCUAGCGUUGCUCGGAAUUACUGGGCGUAAAGGGCGCGUAGGCGGAUAGUUUAGUCAGAGGUAAAAGCCCAGGGCUCAACCUUGGAACUGCCUUUGAUACUGUCUAGCUCGAGUCCGGAAGAGGAGUGUGGAAUUCCUGGUGUAGCGGUGAAAUGCGCAGAUAUCAGGAGGAACACCAAUGGCGAAGGCAGCACUCUGGGACGUGACUGACGCUGAGACGCGAAAGCGUGGGGAGCAAACAGG
rnacentral:rRNA from 1 species